rnacentral:rRNA from 1 species
GACGUAGGGCGCAAGCGUUGUCCGGAUUUACUGGGCGUAAAGGGCGCGUAGGCGGUCAGCACAAGUCAGUUGUGAAAUCUCCGAGCUUAACUCGGAAAGGUCAACUGAUACUGUGCGACUAGAGUGCAGAAGGGGCAACUGGAAUUCUCGGUGUAGCGGUGAAAUGCGUAGAUAUCGAGAGGAACACCUGCGGCGAAGGCGGGUUGCUGGGCUGACACUGACGCUGAGGCGCGAAAGCUAGGGGAGCGAACGGG